ensembl:lncRNA
UCCUCAACGGUGGGCUAAGUACUAGUGACCUCUGGCCCCAUAGAAGACAUAUUUUCUUACCUGUCUAGUGAUGUAAUGAAGCUGCCAAGUUUUAAUGAGAGACUUUUGUAAUUUUGAUGUAUGAUUUUUUUAACACUUUUAUAAAAUGUAUUUUGUUUUGUCUUGUCAGAUGUGUAGUUAUUAUGUAUGAAGGGGAGAUGUGGUAUACUGUGCCUUUAAGCCACACUCUCUGGUUGCUACAGCUGUAAUGUAAGAACUACUGAUUGCUGGGAUAUAUAGCUUUUGUGCACCCAAAGCCUCAGCAGCCUUCCUAAUGUUUGGAAUAAACUCUUUCCUACAAGACUCUGCUGGCUGUUGAGCUUCCUUCAUACGAAGAAUAUUACACCAGUGCCUGACAGCUGUGAUGAACUGGAUGAGGGCUAGCAAAUUGAAUCUUAAUCUAGACAAGACAGAGGCCCUCCUGGUCAGUUGUGGAACCAAUCGGGGUAUUGGGUGGCAACCUGUACUUGACUGGGAUUUUAAUUUUGUUUUAAUAAUGUGUGUAUUGUGCUGCUUAUGUAAUGUAUGCUGCUGUUUUUAUGCUUGUAAACUGCCCUGAGUCCCUUCAGGGAGAGUGGGCGGUAUAUAAAUAAAGUUUUACUUACUUACUGAUUUGGAAGAAAGAUACAUGAAAUUUCCUUCUAUACCAAUUUCUUUCUAUAUGGAGGCAGUUUAUUUCCUUCCUAUGGCAUCUGAUAGUUUCCACAUAUGUAAGGCAAUGAAUAUAUUCUGUGUUCUAGUCUAGAUUUUAAAUGAAGUGUCUGUGGUACUGAACCCUAUGUCCCUCUGAAACCUAAUUCAGUAUCUGAUUGGAGUUAUACUGUCUCACUGAUACCAGAUGUGUCAUGUAAUGUCAAAUACCAGUUAAACAAACAAAAGUUUCCAAAGCAACAAAGUCCCAGUAUAUUAACAGGAAAUGCAGCAAAUGCUACAGUCUUUUUAGGCUAGCAAUUAUACAGUACAUACACACACAAGCUAUUGAAAGCAAGAGUCCAAGUUGCCGUGGUCAUGCUGAAAGUUUUUUCAGAAUUUAUUAAGGAACAAAUACAAAUCAGAAUUCCAGUCCAAGGUAAACAAAGCUGGCUUUCAGAACACAGCAGUGUCAGAUGUCCAAGUCAGAAAACAUAAUACAGUAGUCCAACAUCAACAGAGCCCAUACUCCAAAGGCCAUCAAGGUUCAGAUUCAGACCACAAAGUAAAUAUAUCAUCUCCUUCAACAAGGCUGAAGUCUUGAGAGUUUUUUAUUCUGUGCUCUCAGUUGUUGCCUGUGUAGACCCCAUUUCUCUGCUAAUUGUGCAGACUUGCAGUCCUCUGUACACUCUCAUCGGUAUUCUCAAAGGUCUGGUGCAAUUAAUCCUUCAUCAGCCUGCCCUAAUGUACUGACUUCUGUUUGCUCCACCUACUGGGUGGCUACUGCUGAAGGUUCCUCUUCUGCAAUAACUAAGCUAGGCUGGAACCAACUCCACCACUGGCUCUUCCAACAACCCCUCAUCCUCACUCUCAGAACUGACAAUGAAAAGAUACAUCAGUCACCUCUGUUUUCAUCUCUUCUGUUAUUCAUAAUUAAUUAUUUUACUGUCCUCUCAUAAAAGAACAAAAAGGAAGUAUCUCCACCGCAAUUGAUAAGGAAUCCAAAAUCUAAAAUUAUAUAAAUAUAUAAAUACCCUUGUUCGAUGGCUAUCCUUUCCAAAGAUUUUGGAUGGACAACUUUUCAGAAGAUGGCUUACUGUAGAUGUAUAAACUUUACAUAAUAAUAUUAAAAAUUUGCUGAAAAGGUUAGAACAUGUACAAGUAUUUAAAACAUAAUUUUCAGUAAAGGAUUAAAAUGUAGUACGAAUUCACACAUUUUUCUGAUCCAUGAUUUAAAUUCAAAUGCUGAUCUGAAUAAAAACAACUUCAUCUACCACAAAAAGAAAGCGAGUAGAGAAUCAAUAGAAAGGAUUUCCACUGCCUGGGAACAGUCCUCGAGAAGGCUGUCUCAUUUGUCCUGAUAUCAUGGACCUGUGAAGCUGAUGGGAUGGAGAGAAAGACCUCUCUUACAGAUCUUUAAAUUACAGCUGGUUGGUAUAAGGAGAUAAGGUCUUUCAUGUAGUCUGAACCAAAGCCACAUAGGCUUUCAGAAGUCAAAACCAGCCCUUUGAAUUGUAUCUGGACAUUGACUAGUCGCCAAUGACACUGCUUCAACACAGAAGUCUCAUGAUCCUUGUAGCUAGCCCCAGUCAAUGGCCUGGCCACAGUAUUCUUCACCAACCGAAGUUUCUGAACAGUUUCCAAAGGCAGCCCCAUGUAGAGCAUGUUACAGUUUAAACAGGAUGUAAUCAAAGCAUGUGUCACCGUAGCUUGAUCAGACUUUUCAAGGAACAGGCACAAUGAAGGUGGAGAAGAACUCUGUCAUCUGUAGUAAAUUCUACCAAGCUACUCAUAAAUCACCAAACUAGCUUUCCUAAAGUUGUGCUGGAAUUACUGAUUUGCCUCUAUCAUUACUUUUUCUGUAGGUAUCACAGAAAAGUUAGCUGCACAGCUCUGUUCAUAGACUCAUCGCGUGAUUAUUUUUAAAAAGGAAUAUGCAAUUAUGUCUGUCUCUAUUAAGAAAAUAAUUGCUAUGGAUAAUAGCAUUUAUAUUAAUUUGUCGAUAUGAAAUAAAUGUAUUUGCUAAAGAAAGCUUUCAACAUAAUUGUGGCAAACAACUUAUCUUUCAUCUAUACUUUGCUCUUUUUCUAUAGACGGGGAACACCACUAUGAUUAGUAGUGCAAUUCUAAAAGUGUUCAUUAGAAUAUGGACUUAAUAUUCUAAACUAAGCAUUUUGUGGAGAAAAUUGUGCCUCUAAGCAAUGCUUGAUCUAUAGAUAAGCGAAAGAAGCAAAGCAAAACUCUAUCUAAAAAGCUCAAUGCCUUCUUUUGCUAAUAUAAUUUCUCAAGAAAGAUACAACCACAGGAGCUAUUAUGAGCCUACCCUCAUGAAUUUUCUAAUAUGCUGACACAAGAACAAGGCAGAAAAUGCAGAGGGUAGGGAAGUCCUCAAACAUAUACAUGAGUACGCUAAUAUAUGUUUAUGUAUAUGAGA